rnacentral:rRNA from 1 species
GAUGAACGCUGGCGGCGUGCUUAACACAUGCAAGUCGAACGGUGAAGCAGAGCUUGCUCUGUGGAUCAGUGGCGAACGGGUGAGUAACACGUGAGCAACCUGCCCCUGACUCUGGGAUAAGCGCUGGAAACGGCGUCUAAUACUGGAUAUGAGCUGCGACCGCAUGGUCAGCAGUUGGAAAGAUUUUUCGGUCUGGGAUGGGCUCACGGCCUAUCAGCUUGUUGGUGAGGUAAUGGCUCACCAAGGCGUCGACGGGUAGCCGACCUGAGAGGGUGACCGGCCACACUGGGACUGAGACACGGCCCAGACUCCUACGGGAGGCAGCAGUGGGGAAUAUUGCACAAUGGGCGAAAGCCUGAUGCAGCAACGCCGCGUGAGGGAUGACGGCCUUCGGGUUGUAAACCUCUUUUAGCAGGGAAGAAGCGAAAGUGACGGUACCUGCAGAAAAAGCGCCGGCUAACUACGUG